rnacentral:rRNA from 1 species
UACGAAGGGGGCUAGCGUUGCUCGGAAUUACUGGGCGUAAAGCGCACGUAGGCGGGUCAUUAAGUCGGGGGUGAAAUCCUGGAGCUCAACUCCAGAACUGCCUCCGAAACUGAUGAUCUUGAGUUCGGGAGAGGUGAGUGGAACUGCGAGUGUAGAGGUGAAAUUCGUAGAUAUUCGCAAGAGCACCAGUGGCGAAGGCGGCUCACUGGCCCGACACUGACGCUGAGGUGCGAAAGCGUGGGGAGCAAACAGG